AACGAACGCUGGCGGCAUGCCUAACACAUGCAAGUCGAACGAGAUCUUCGGGUCUAGUGGCGCACGGGUGCGUAACGCGUGGGAAUCUGCCCUUUGGUUCGGAAUAACAGUUGGAAACGACUGCUAAUACCGGAUGAUGACGAAAGUCCAAAGAUUUAUCGCCAGAGGAUGAGCCCGCGUAGGAUUAGCUUGUUGGUGUGGUAAAGGCGCACCAAGGCGACGAUCCUUAGCUGGUCUGAGAGGAUGAUCAGCCACACUGGGACUGAGACACGGCCCAGAAUCCUACGGGAGGCAGCAGUGGGGAAUAUUGGACAAUGGGCGAAAGCCUGAUCCAGCAAUGCCGCGUGAGUGAUGAAGGCCUUAGGGUUGUAAAGCUCUUUUACCCGGGAUGAUAAUGACAGUACCGGGAGAAUAAGCUCCGGCUAACUCCGUGCCAGCCGCCGCAGUAA
rnacentral:rRNA from 1 species